AUGAUUAAGAAUGCACAACAUAAUAAGCUGUUGGUUGGCUUAGCUGCGGAUUUGAUCCCUGAUGGAGUUGCGGUUCUCCAAUAUGUGGAUGACACAAUUGUUUGUCUCGAGCAUGACAUCGUCAAAGCAGUUAACCUGAAGUUGUUGCUGUACAUGUUUGAAAUGAUGUCAGGUUUGAAAGUUAAUUUUCAAAAAAGUGAGAUUUUGACUGUUGGGGGAGACGAUGCUGUUAUUAAGCAAUAUGCCGACCUCUUUAAUUGUGAUGUAGGCAGCUUCCCCAUCAAAUACUUGGGCAUGCCUGUUAGUUACACCUCAUUGAGGAACUCUGACUCGGAGUUCAUUGUGUGCAAAUAUCUGAAAAGAUUCGAAGCCUGGGUGGGCAAUGCUGCCUCCAUGGGAGGGAGACACACCCUUUUAGACUCGGUUGUCACCCAGCUAUCACUGUAUCAUAUGUGUAUGUGGUUGAUGAACAAAACUUUUAUUGAAAAACUAGAUAAGCAUAGAAGAAAAUUCUUCUGGCAGGGUUGUAACAAGAAGAAAGAUAUUAUCUUGUGA
rnacentral:rRNA from 1 species